rnacentral:rRNA from 1 species
AUUGAACGCUGGCGGCAUGCUUUACACAUGCAAGUCGAACGGCAGCGCGGGCUUCGGCCUGGCAGCGAGUGGCGAACGGGUGAGUAAUGCAUCGGAACGUGCCCAGGAGUGGGGGAUAGCCCGGCGAAAGCCGGAUUAAUACCGCAUACGACCUGAGGGUGAAAGCGGGGGACCGAAAGGCCUCGCGCUAUUGGAGCGGCCGAUGUCGGAUUAGCUAGUUGGUGGGGUAAAGGCUUACCAAGGCGACGAUCCGUAGCUGGUCUGAGAGGACGACCAGCCACACUGGGACUGAGACACGGCCCAGACUCCUACGGGAGGCAGCAGUGGGGAAUUUUGGACAAUGGGGGCAACCCUGAUCCAGCCAUGCCGCGUGCGGGAAGAAGGCCUUCGGGUUGUAAACCGCUUUUGUUCGGGAAGAAAUCCUCUGGGCUAAUACCCCGGGGGGAUGACGGUACCGGAAGAAUAAGCACCGGCUAACUACGUG